rfam:Oryza glumipatula chromosome 11, whole genome shotgun sequence.
AAUAAAUACAGUUUUGCACUAUUUAUGUCUCACGUUUGACCGUUCGUCUUAUUUGUAAUUUUUUUACGAUUAAUAUUUUUAUUUUUAUUAGAUGAUAAAACAUGAAUAGCACUUCAUGUGUGACUAAUUUAUUUUAAUUUUCUCAUAAAUUUUUCAAAUAAGACGGACGGUCAAAAGUCGGACACGGAUUCUCAUGGCUACACUUAUU